ACGAACGCUGGCGGCCUGCCUAACCCAUGCCAGUCGAACGAGACCUUCGGGUCUAGUGGCGCACGGGUGCGUAACGCGUGGGAACCUGCCCUUAGGUUCGGAAUAACUCCCCGAAAGGGGUGCUAAUACCGGAUAAUGUCUUCGGACCAAAGAUUUAUCGCCUUUGGAUGGGCCCGCGUUGGAUUAGCUAGUUGGUAGGGUAAAAGCCUACCAAGGCGCCGAUCCAUAGCUGGUCUGAGAGGAUGAUCAGCCACACUGGGACUGAGACACGGCCCAGACUCCUACGGGAGGCAGCAGUGGGGAAUAUUGGACAAUGGGCGAAAGCCUGAUCCAGCAAUGCCGCGUGAGUGAUGAAGGCCUUAGGGUUGUAAAGCUCUUUUACCCGGGAUGAUAAUGACAGUACCGGGAGAAUAAGCUCCGGCUAACUCCGUG
rnacentral:rRNA from 1 species